rnacentral:rRNA from 1 species
GCUCAGCCAUAAACCUAGACAUCCACCUACAAUUAGACGUCCGCCCGGGUACUACGAGCAUUAGCUUGAAACCCAAAGGACCUGACGGUGCCUUAGACCCCCCUAGAGGAGCCUGUUCUAGAACCGAUAACCCCCGUUAAACCUCACCACUUCUAGCCACCCCAGCCUAUAUACCGCCGUCGUCAGCUUACCCUGUGAAGGCAAUAAAAGUAAGCAAAAUGGGCACAACCCAGAACGUCAGGUCGAGGUGUAGCGUACGAAGCGGAAAGAAAUGGGCUACAUUUUCUAUAAUAGAACACUACGGACAUGCAACAUGAAAUAGUGCUUGAAGGAGGAUUUAGUAGUAAAAAGGAAACAGAGUGUCCUUUUGAACCCGGCUCUGAGGCGCGU